CAGCUUGCUAGUUGCUGACGAGUGGCGGACGGGUGAGUAAUGCUUGGGAAUUUGCCUUUGGGAGGGGGAUAACCACUGGAAACGGUGGCUAAUACCGCAUAACGUCUACGGACCAAAGGGGGCUUCGGCUCCCACCUGAAGAGAAGCCCAAGUGAGAUUAGCUAGUUGGUGAGGUAAAGGCUCACCAAGGCGACGAUCUCUAGCUGUUCUGAGAGGAAGAUCAGCCACACUGGAACUGAGACACGGUCCAGACUCCUACGGGAGGCAGCAGUGGGGAAUAUUGCACAAUGGGGGAAACCCUGAUGCAGCCAUGCCGCGUGUGUGAAGAAGGCCUUCGGGUUGUAAAGCACUUUCAGUUGUGAGGAAAGGUUAGUAGUUAAUACCUGCUAGCUGUGACGUUAGCAACAGAAGAAGCACCGGCUAACUCCGUGCCAGCAGCCGCGGUAAUACGGAGGGUGCAAGCGUUAAUCGGAAUUACUGGGCGUAAAGCGCACGCAGGCGGCUUGUUAAGCUAGAUGUGAAAGCCCCGGGCUCAACCUGGGAUGGUCAUUUAGAACUGGCAGACUAGAGUUUUGGAGAGGGGAGUGGAAUUCCAGGUGUAGCGGUGAAAUGCGUAGAUAUCUGGAGGAACAUCAGUGGCGAAGGCGACUCUCUGGCCAAAGACUGACGCUCAUGUGCGAAAGUGUGGGUAGCGAACAGGAUUAGAUACCCUGGUAGUCCACACCGUAAACGCUGUCUACUAGCUGUUUGUGAAUUUAAUUCGUGAGUAGCGAAGCUAACGCGCUAAGUAGACCGCCUGGGGAGUACGGCCGCAAGGUUAAAACUCAAAUGAAUUGACGGGGGCCCGCACAAGCGGUGGAGCAUG
rnacentral:rRNA from 1 species